CUUUUAAAUUGUUUUCAGGUCAUAACAGCAUGCGCCAUCCUCCACAACAUCUGCCUUGGUGCUGGGGAUGUCAAGGCCCCAGAGGAUGACCCAGAGGAGGCUGUAGAAGAGGAUGAGGGUGAGGUCGGGACUGAGACAGUCAGCUUUGCUCUCUGGCAGGACCAGCUUUCAGCUGAGGUGUCCGCCCUGGAGGAGUGACGUGGCAGCCAUCAAUUCAGACAGCCCUUUAAACCCACUUGAUGGACGAUACCGUCGACAGUGGAGAGAGGAAUCACAAACAUCUGCAGACCACCUGUGUGAUGCUUUGCUCACCAUCCAGAAUAGAUCAGUAGUGGUUGAGCCUCCCUCUUAAGUACUCCUCCAAGCAAUCAGCAGAUGGAAAACACCUGUCAUCCAGCGCACCUGAGAACUCCAGCACCAACUGGAAACCGAAUGCCUCUGAGGGUUCGCAAGGCUCCACGCCUCCGGAGUUCCACAGAGUUUCUGGGAGGUCCUCUACUCUGCUCAGUCGGCCUCCUGAUCUACCUGCAGUUUCCCUUCGCAGGUCGCCACGGUCUCUACGCUUCUGUCGGCCUCCACGUGCAGGUCAGGUCGCCCGCCUGAACUCUGUGCUGCUGGGGACGACCUCCUGGUCGCCCGCCUGAACUCUGUGCCUGCUGGGCACGACCUCCUGGUCGCCCGCCUGAACACUGUGUCUGCAGGGGACGACCUCUUGGUCGCCCGCCUGAACUCUGUUUUUGUUUUUGGCCCUCCUACCGUGCUCAUGUCUAGUUCUCAAACCAAGUCUUGUCUUUUUGAUCAUGCCAUGCCUGUCUUGCCUGCCCGUUUGUUUUGUUCCUGCCUCCUGCUGAGUGUGAGUUUUCGUAAUUAAACCUUUUUUUUUCACUUACCAUCAUGCUGCCAGCUCGUCUGCAUUCUGGGGUCCAAUAUCAAGUAAACCGUGACAACAGGUCUGUCUUUUUACUGUUGCUGUGCACAGAACUACAAUUCCUGACAUGUAUUCAUGCAUAGUGGCUGAAUUAAUCAUCCACGUUCUAAAAUGUGGGCCCAUUACAGGCCACUAUAACAAAUUGGUUCCAGAUUCACCUUUUGUUUCCUCACUGUUUCUUGUUCUUGCCAAAUUAAGAAAAUGCUCAUUUAUAAAAGAGGGGACUUAUGAUAAAAUAGUGUAACUAUUCCCCUUCAAGUGGAACAGAAAAUAAUUUUUUCUACAUUUAAUUUAGUUGUAAAUUUGCAUAACCUUAUGAGUCAUUAUAUAGCAAAAUUCUAAUAUACUAAUCUAACUUAACACCACAAAUGUAGUUUUCAUUUUGAUUUUUAGAGGAAUAAAUGAUAAAAACAAUCCUGUGUAUAUAAAGUAGUUGCAUCUGAACUCUAUGUUAUAAGCUUACAUCUUAAAAUAUAUAAACAAUCAAUUUAGUGGCCCAGUUUAUUUACACUAAGUAAUAGACAUUACACAUAGAAGUUACCUUUUGGAAUAACCUACCUCUGUUUUCAACUUUCUAAAGGUUCGCAACUAAUUAAAUUAAAUUUCCCCCAUCAUUUACAGUGACUUCCAGGAGAAUUAAUACCCAUUUAUCUUUUUAACACUUUAUCACAUUACAACCAAAAAAUUCAGUCUGUUUUAUAGAGACUUUAUGAGAUAGACUAACAUAAUGCAGUGCAUAAAUUUUAAAUGUUAUGUUUGUGCAGCAAAUUCAGCGAACUAAAUCGGUAUUUUGUAGAACCAACUUUUGACACAAUUACAGUUCAAGGGUCUUUUUUAUAAAACAUUGCGUAGAAUCUAUACUAAAAGUGUAUGGAUGCCCAAAAGCCGAAAAUGGCAUACACUUAAGAAAAUCCAGACUUAUAAAACCAUGCGCAUGCACCCCAGCAAGCAAUGUCCCCUUUAGAAAUCAUAACUGCACCUCCAUGUUUGAGUAUAAGGUUCCGCCUCGUGUUCUACUCUCUAAAAGCCCACAUUCAACCAUGAACGGUCAUUGCAAAGCACCUCAUGAAUGUCAAUGUGCAUUUAAUGAGCCAGCUGAUCAAUGUUAUUUUAAGGUUAACAAUGGCAACCACUGAGAAACAUCCUAAUUCUCCCCUUUGAAUGGUUUUCCAAUGAUGUCAAUGCAUCCAUUGUGCAGCAUUACGCACAAGUGUCACCACGGUAUUCAAAUGUUUACAACAACGGUGUUAUUGCCUCACACCUUGUCACAAUUUAUGUGGUACACAUCACCCAAGUGAUCAUCGAGGAGAGGAAUGUGAUGGUGAAGAAACUUUAAUUUAAAAUUUAAGUUGGCUUAUAGACCUUUUUUAGUUAUUUGAAAGGUCAUUAUGAUUAGUUAUGGCUCAACAGCGCAAGCAUAAAUAACACUGUGGUUUGAAUGCCUAUGAUAAAGUUAAUCUAUGAAUAAAGUUUGAUAUGGAAUGAAA